rnacentral:rRNA from 1 species
UACGAGUGCCCCAAGCGUUAUCCGGAAUUAUUGGGCGUAAAGGGUGUGUAGGUGGUCUUGUUAGUCUUCUGUGAAAUUCUUCGGCUUAAACCGGGGGUCCGCAGGGGAAACGGCAGGACUAGAGGAUGCGAGAGGUGUGCGGAACUCAUGGUGUAGGGGUGAAAUCCGUUGAUAUCAUGGGGAACACCGAAAGCGAAGGCAGCACACUGGCGCACUCCUGACACUGAAAACACGAAAAGCGUGGGGUAGCGAAAUGGGG